CAGGAUGCCGCUGAUGGAGUACGACGAGCCGGCCGAAUCCGUGCUCACCGAGGACACCUGCGUCACGGAGCCAGUGGACACUGCGCGGAGAAAGACGGGCGGUCAGGGCCGCAGAGGGCUGAGGGCGGCGGACCGGCUGUCACCGCACCUAACCAGCGGUGUUUCCUGUAUCCCAAGUGGAGAAAUAAUACACCUUAAAUAGACACAUGUCAUUUCACAAUCUUUGAAGGGAAGACAAAGGACAUUUCUGAACUCUUGAGCACUAGGAAGUAUGACUCCCACUCUGUCGGGUCACAGCCACUCUCAGACGUCACCUGCGAGCACUGGAAACCCCACUGGCAGCCCUUGACAGUUCAUAGAGUUCAUGAGAUCGAAGCAAGAGAGAGAGAGAAAAACCUUAGGCUCUGAAGAGUUUGUAGACGUCCAGCAAGGACCACGCAUGCGCAAGACAGCAAGUCCGGCGCAUCUGAGAGCAGCAGAACAGGGCCACGCGAAAAGCUCCUUCGGAUCUACCAGAAAGCUCCUUCCUUGGCAUUUGGGAGAAGAGUGGGUCAUAAUAAAAUGUCCGGUUUCUUUGGAAAAGUUAUAUUCCAGUCUCAAACUAUUACCUUUUGAAAGGACAUUUAUUAGAGUUUUUUCUCAUUAUAACAGUAAUAUACGUUCAUUGUAGACUCUUUGGACAGUAUGGGAAAGUAUAAAGAAGACAUCUAAAAACGGU
rnacentral:lncRNA from 1 species